rnacentral:tRNA from 1 species
GGCGGAAUCAGCUAACGAAGCUUUUGGGCCCAUACCCCAAAAAUGAUGGUUAUACUCCAUCCUCCACCA